rnacentral:rRNA from 1 species
UACGUAGGGUGCAAGCGUUAAUCGGAAUGACUGGGCGUAAAGGGUGCGCAGGCGGUCUGCUAAGACAGAGGUGAGAUCCCCGGGCUUAACCUGGGAAUGGCAUUUGGGACUGCAAGGCUGGAGUGCGGCAGAGGAGACUGGAAUUCCUGGUGUAGCAGUGAAAUGCGUAGAUAUCAGGAGGAACACCUGUGGUGUAGACAGCUUACUGGACCACUUCUGACGCUGAGACACGAAAGCGUGGGUAGCAAACAGG